UUUAUGGAGAGUUUGAUCCUGGCUCAGGAUGAACGCUGGCGGCGUGCCUAAUACAUGCAAGUCGAGCGAACGGACGAGAAGCUUGCUUCUCUGAUGUUAGCGGCGGACGGGUGAGUAACACGUGGAUAACCUACCUAUAAGACUGGGAUAACUUCGGGAAACCGGAGCUAAUACCGGAUAAUAUUUUGAACCGCAUGGUUCAAAAGUGAAAGACGGUCUUGCUGUCACUUAUAGAUGGAUCCGCGCUGCAUUAGCUAGUUGGUAAGGUAACGGCUUACCAAGGCAACGAUGCAUAGCCGACCUGAGAGGGUGAUCGGCCACACUGGAACUGAGACACGGUCCAGACUCCUACGGGAGGCGACAGUAGGGAAUCUUCCGCAAUGGGCGAAAGCCUGACGGAGCAACGCCGCGUGAGUGAUGAAGGUCUUCGGAUCGUAAAACUCUGUUAUUAGGGAAGAACAUAUGUGUAAGUAACUGUGCACAUCUUGACGGUACCUAAUCAGAAAGCCACGGCUAACUACGUGCCAGCGUGCGCGGUAAUACGUAGGUGGCAAGCGUUAUCCGGAAUUAUUGGGCGUAAAGCGCGCGUAGGCGGUUUUUUAAGUCUGAUGUGAAAGCCCACGGCUCAACCGUGGAGGGUCAUUGGAAACUGGAAAACUUGAGUGCAGAAGAGGAAAGUGGAAUUCCAUGUGUAGCGGUGAAAUGCGCAGAGAUAUGGAGGAACACCAGUGGCGAAGGCGACUUUCUGGUCUGUAACUGACGCUGAUGUGCGAAAGCGUGGGGAUCAAACAGGAUUAGAUACCCUGGUAGUCCACGCCGUAAACGAUGAGUGCUAAGUGUUAGGGGGUUUCCGCCCCUUAGUGUUUGCGACUAACGCAUUAAGCACUCCGCCUGGGGAGUACGACCGCAAGGUUGAAACUCAAAGGAAUUGACGGGGACCCGCACAAGCGGUGGAGCAUGUGGUUUAAUUCGAAGCAACGCGAAGAACCUUACCAAAUCUUGACAUCCUUUGACAACUCUAGAGAUAGAGCCUUCCCCUUCGGGGGACAAAGUGACAGGUGGUGCAUGGUUGUCGUCAGCUCGUGUCGUGAGAUGUUGGGUUAAGUCCCGCAACGAGCGCAACCCUUAAGCUUAGUUGCCAUCAUUAAGUUGGGCACUCUAAGUUGACUGCCGGUGACAAACCGGAGGAAGGUGGGGAUGACGUCAAAUCAUCAUGCCCCUUAUGAUUUGGGCUACACACGUGCUACAAUGGACAAUACAAAGGGCAGCGAAACCGCGAGGUCAAGCAAAUCCCAUAAAGUUGUUCUCAGUUCGGAUUGUAGUCUGCAACUCGACUACAUGAAGCUGGAAUCGCUAGUAAUCGUAGAUCAGCAUGCUACGGUGAAUACGUUCCCGGGUCUUGUACACACCGCCCGUCACACCACGAGAGUUUGUAACACCCGAAGCCGGUGGAGUAACCUUUUAGGAGCUAGCCGUCGAAGGUGGGACAAAUGAUUGGGGUGAAGUCGUAACAAGGUAGCCGUAUCGGAAGGUGCGGCUGGAUCACCUCCUUU
rnacentral:rRNA from 1 species